UGCAUAUCAAUAAGCGGAGGAAAAGAAACUAACAAGGAUUCCCCUAGUAACUGCGAGUGAAGCGGGAAAAGCUCAAAUUUAAAAUCUGGUGGCCUCUGGUCAUCCGAGUUGUAAUUUAGAGAAGCGUCUUCCGCGCUGGACCGUGCACAAGUCUCCUGGAAUGGAGCGUCAUAGAGGGUGUGAAUCCCGUCUUUGGCACGGAUCCCGGGGCUUUUGUGAUGCGCUCUCGAAGAGUCGAGUUGUUUGGGAACGCAGCUCAAAAUGGGUGGUGAACUCCAUCUAAAGCUAAAUAUUGGCGAGAGACCGAUAGCGAACAAGUACCGUGAGGGAAAGAUGAAAAGCACUUUGGAAAGAGAGUGAAACAGUACGUGAAAUUGUUGAAAGGGAAACGCUUGAAGUCAGUCGCGUCGUCCGAGACUCAGCCUCGCCUCGGCUUGGUGUACUUCUCGACCGACGGGUCAGCAUCAAUUUUGCCCCUUGGAUAAUGGCGUGGGAAAUGUGGCACCUUUGCGGGUGCGUUAUAGUCCCUCGUCGCAUGCAAGGGUCGGGAUUGAGGAACUCAGCACGCGCCUUUCGGCGUCGGGGCCUUUGCCCACGAUACGUGCUUAGGAUGUUGACGUAAUGGCUUUAAACGAC
rnacentral:rRNA from 1 species